CUGCUGUGCUGAGGAUUCCACAUCUGGAUGCAAUACUCCAGGUGAGGCCUCACCAGCACAGAGAGUGGCAGAAGCACUCCCUCGUCCUGCUGGCUGUACUUCUUUUGAUGCAGCCCAGGAUAUGGUUGGCUUUCUGAGCUGUGAGGGCACACUGCUGGCUAAUGUCCAGCUGCCAUCCACCAGUACUCCCAAGCCCUUUUUGACAGGGCUGUACUUUCAUGCUGCAGCUUGUAUUGAUAGUGGGGUUGCUGUCACCCAAGCACCAGACCUUGCACUCAGACCUUGUUGAGCCUCACAAGGUUCUUGUGGACCCACAGCUGGAGCCUCCUUAGGCCUCACUGGAUGGCAUCCUGUCCCUUGAAUGCGUUGACUGCACCAUUCGCCUUGGUGUCACCCACAAACUUGCUGUCAGUCCCACUGCCAAUGUCAUUAAUGAAAACACUAAAGAGCACUGGUCCCAGUACUGACCCUUGAAGGACAUCACUUGUCUCUAAUCUCCAUCUGGACAUUAAGCUAUUGAGUCUCUGGGUAUGAUCUUGCAACUGUUUCUUUGUCCAUCAAACAAUCCACCCACCACAUCUAUAUUUUUCUAUUUCAGAGAAGGAUGUUGUGGGGGAUGUCAAAGGCCUUACUGAAGUCCAGAUAGAUGACAUCGGUGGCUCUUCCUUGUCCACUGAUGCAAUUAUGCCAUCAUAGAAGUCCACUAGGUGUGUCAGUCAGGACCUGCCCUUGGUGAAGUCAUACUGGUUGUCCUAUAUCACCUCUGUCUCUUCCAUGUGCCUUAGCAUAGUUUCCAGGAGGAUCUGCUCCAUGAUCUUCCCCAGCACAGAAGUGAGGCUGACAGGUCUAGCCCACAUUGUGCAGUUGAGCAUGGAGAAGGGAGUGGCGAAUGCAGGCAGACAUCUGCAGAGCUGUGGCCAGGAGGGUCUGUUUGAACAUCUAAUUAGAUGACAGCAAACCCACAUGGUGAAGCUACAGCCCUGUCACCAUCCUCCCAAGAUAUCGGUCCAUGCCAGGAUUGCUGUCUGAUUCUGAUCUACAUAAUUCGUCAUAAUCUUUAGAACUGACUCAAGCAAUGAGGUUCACUGCACAGCUCACUGGAUUUAAUCCACCACUCCAGCGGUGCUAACGAAGCUAAUGGCAUAGGCAAAGAAAGAACACAUGUAUAGUUAGGAGGCAGAGAAAAAAAA